GGGGGAACCCUGAUCCAGCCAUGCCGCGUGUGUGAAGAAGGCCUUUUGGUUGUAAAGCACUUUAAGCGAGGAGGAGGCUUACCUGGUUAAUACCUGGGAUAAGUGGACGUUACUCGCAGAAUAAGCACCGGCUAACUCUGUGCCAGCAGCCGCGGUAAUACAGAGGGUGCGAGCGUUAAUCGGAUUUACUGGGCGUAAAGCGCGCGUAGGUGGUUAAUUAAGUCAAAUGUGAAAUCCCCGAGCUUAACUUGGGAAUUGCAUUCGAUACUGGUUAGCUAGAGUAUGGGAGAGGAUGGUAGAAUUCCAGGUGUAGCGGUGAAAUGCGUAGAGAUCUGGAGGAAUACCGAUGGCGAAGGCAGCCAUCUGGCCUAAUACUGACACUGAGGUGCGAAAGCAUGGGGAGCAAACAGGAUUAGAUACCCUGGUAGUCCAUGCCGUAAACGAUGUCUACUAGCCGUUGGGGGAUUUGAUCCUUUAGUGGCGCAGCUAACGCGAUAAGUAGACCGCCUGGGGAGUACGGUCGCAAGACUAAAACUCAAAUGAAUUGACGGGGGCCCGCACAAGCGGUGGAGCAUGUGGUUUAAUUCGAUGCAACGCGAAGAACCUUACCUGGCCUUGACAUAGUAGAGACUUUCCAGAGAUGGAUUGGUGCCUUCGGGAAUCUACAUACAGGUGCUGCAUGGCUGUCGUCAGCUCGUGUCGUGAGAUGUUGGGUUAAGUCCCGCAACGAGCGCAACCCUUUUCCUUACUUGCCAGCAUUUCGGAUGGGAACUUUAAGGAUACUGCCAGUGACAAACUGGAGGAAGGCGGGGACGACGUCAAGUCAUCAUGGCCCUUACGGCCAGGGCUACACACGUGCUACAAUGGUCGGUACAAAGGGUUGCUACACAGCGAUGUGAUGCUAAUCUCAAAAAGCCGAUCGUAGUCCGGAUCGCAGUCUGCAACUCGACUGCGUGAAGUCGGAAUCGCUAGUAAUCGCGGAUCAGAAUGCCGCGGUGAAUACGUUCCCGGGCCUUGUACACACCGCCCGUCACACCAUGGGAGUUUGUUGCACCAGAAGUAGGUAGUCUAACCGUAAGGAGGACGCUUACCACGGUGUGGCCGAUGACUGGGGUGAAGUCGUAACAAGGUAGCCGUAGGGGAACCUGCGGCUG
rnacentral:rRNA from 1 species